AACGUAGGUUCCGAGCGUUAUCCGGAUUUACUGGGCGUAAAGCGCGUUCAGGCGGUUUGGCAAGUCGGGCAUGAAAUCCUUCGGCUCAACCGGGGGAGGUUGUCCGAUACUGCUGAACUGGAGGGCAGUAGAGGGUGGUGGAAUUCCGGGUGUAGUGGUGAAAUGCGUAGAGAUCCGGAGGAACACCAGUGGCGAAAGCGGCCACCUGGACUGCACCUGACGCUGAAACGCGAAAGCUAGGGGAGCGAACAGG
rnacentral:rRNA from 1 species